rnacentral:tRNA from 1 species
CGGAGAGUGGCUCAGUGGUAGAGCGCUGCGUUCGGGACGCAGAGGUCGUGGGUUCGACUCCCGCCUCUCCGA